CACGUAGGCGGACAUUUAAGUCAGGGGUGAAAUCCCGGGGCUCAACCCCGGAACUGCCUUUGAUACUGGGUGUCUCGAGUCCGGAAGAGGUGAGUGGAAUUCCGAGUGUGGAGGUGAAAUUCGUAGAUAUUCGGAGGAACACCAGUGGCGAAGGCGGCUCACUGGUCCGGUACUGACGCUGAGGUGCGAAAGCGUGGGGAGCAAACA
rnacentral:rRNA from 1 species